UACAGUGCAACAGGAAGUGGUCAAGAUGAAACUUUUAGUAAUAUAGAUGGAUGUGCGAAACAUGGAUAACUGGGACUAGCACAAUGAUUUCAAUUUUCCUUCUUAUUUCUGUUGAAGUUUCUUCCAGACUUCACUUUCAGUUACAUCUUUUUCUCUCCCACCUCUCCAACCAUCACAGUCCAUCAGUUUUUUUUUUUCUCUGAUCCACAUCCCUUCCAGUACAACAAAACUUAUUUAUCACUGAUUAUUUCAAGUUUUGAUGAAAGGUCAUCAACCUCAAAUAUUAACUCUGCACAGAUGCUGCCAAGAUGGCAGAAUAUUUCCAGCACUUUCUCUUUUAGUUUGUAUUUUGUUCUUUGUGAUUGUACUAACAAAAAUUAUAUGUCAAUGUCUCAGUGGAGACCCGUUAUGAUUGUGGUAGAUAACACAGCUAUGUCAGAGUUUGUAGCUGUUGGCUCCUCAAAGCAACUGCCUAUUUAUUGGGUGGGGUAAUUUUCCUAAAGUCAGGUCGGGCGGAGUUGCCCCCGCCACGGGUACCAUGUAAUCCCGUGCUACCUGCUCCAUGGUCGGAUAGUUGGCGACUAAACCGUCUCCCCCAUCUGGUUUGCCAGGUGAGAGGGGGCUGUGGACCCCAUCCUGGAAUUAAAACAAGAUCUGUCAAAGGGCGGAUGAGCUUCUAGCGAGCCAACGGCCAUCCACACUUCAGUAGACGUUGCGAUCAUUGUCGUACAUAGCAUUGUAAGGAAUGAUGAUAAAACACACACACCAAAAUCCUAUACUUCCAGCGGCGGAAGUCUGCAGGAACUGGAGGACAGAGAUGUGUGGUGCGUCCGUCACCGUUCCCAUUGGACACCAGCACCACUGCGUCGCUAAUGUUUUCAACAAUGAUGAAUGAAGUAAUUUUCCUUUUCAUGGUAAAAUAACAAAUGAGGUAAGAGGCAACCAGUGAAAUAAUUUUGGUUGCUGAAGGUGGAAAGGAACCAACAGCUUCGAGGAAUAACAUGGUCAUUGUGGGGAAACAUGAUCCCAUUUUAGUCUGCAAGCUUAGCCAAGAAUGAGUAAAGGGAAAAACACAGAAUGGAGGGAAACAAAAAGCUAUCCAACUACCUAAAUUUCACCACCACCUCCAGGUUACACACUGUACAACUGCUGACAAAAGUUUUGCUACUACUGGAAAGAAUACUCAGUUAAUGUGUUAAUUAAAUAAAGCUGAGCUAUUGUUUUCUACUAAAUCUGUUCUCUUUCUUCGCCUCUAGGUGUACUAUUGCAGAUCACUGGCAAUAGCGUUCAUCGAGUGUAAUGUGUUGCAAAGAUUUCACGAUUUUACUCAUAGCUCGAGCAGGCCAGUUAACUUGCGGCCUGUGUUGAAGCAUCUCACUUCCUUAUAUUCUCUGGGCUCUGACCAAACACAGCAGUUCUAUACCAAGGAGGAUAUUUCUCAGGUGCCCAGCCUGCAAGGAGCUUGCAGAAUUCUGUUCCAAACCCUUGUUCUCAGGUUGUAUGUUGAUUAUUUGUGUUAAACCGGCUGAAGGAUGAUUCAGAGGCAUUAGUAGAUGUUAAUGCUGCACCCGAUUUUAUUCUGAAUUUGACGAUUGAAAAAGCGGCGAGGUAAAGCCCAUUUUGUUUUAUCCCUCUCUUAGUGACAGUAUGUGCCUUUUUGUCUCCUUUAUAUUUCUGAAUAUGCUUCUUCAGAAGGAGGUCAAGUAAGAUUUAUCACAUCACAAGGCACUGAUUAAUGCUGAUUACUGAGGGAUUUCAGGUUUAUGAGCAAUUGUACUAACAACUGUGAGAAUUUUCAUAGCUUGUCAACACAAAUUGACAUUCAUUCAUUAAUUCAUUGACUGACAGACAGAAAGAAUCAAAUGCUGGAGGAACUCAACGUGCGAGGCAGCAUCAAUGGAGAGAAGGAAUAGGCGAUGUUUCGGGUCGAGAACCUUCUUCUGACUGAUCAGCAUCUGCAGUUCUUUCUUAGACAGACAGAAUCAGGCCCUUAGAGUCGACACCAACCAUUGAUCACUUGUUCUCACUAGUUCUAUGUUAUCUUACUUUUGCAUCCAUUUCCUACACAUUAGGGACAAUUUACAGAGAUCAAUUAAUCUACAAACCUGCACGUCUUUGGAUGUGGAAGGGAACUGGUGGUAACCCACAUGGUCACAGGCAGAACUUGCAAAUUCCACACAGAGAGUACCUGAGGUCAGGAUCGAACCUGGGUCUCUGGCACAUUGAGGCAGGAGCUCUACAUUGCCAGAGGCAGGAGCUCUACCACCGCGCCAUUGUGCCACCUAAUUUAA